GACGAACGCUGGCGGCGUGCUUAACACAUGCAAGUCGAACGGAAAGGCCCUGCUUUUGUGGGGUGCUCGAGUGGCGAACGGGUGAGUAACACGUGAGUAACCUGCCCUUUACUUUGGGAUAACUUCAGGAAACUGGGGCUAAUACCGGAUAGGAGCUCCUGCUGCAUGGUGGGGGUUGGAAAGUUUCGGCGGUUGGGGAUGGACUCGCGGCUUAUCAGCUUGUUGGUGGGGUAGUGGCUUACCAAGGGUUUGACGGGUAGCCGGCCUGAGAGGGUGACCGGCCACAUUGGGACUGAGAUACGGCCCAGACUCCUACGGGAGGCAGCAGUGGGGAAUAUUGCACAAUGGGCGGAAGCCUGAUGCAGCAACGCCGCGUGCGGGAUGACGGCCUUCGGGUUGUAAACCGCUUUCGCCUGUGACGAAGCGUGAGUGACGGUAAUGGGUAAAGAAGCACCGGCUAACUACGUG
rnacentral:rRNA from 1 species